UCAGUUAGUUUAUACGUCUGCUAUGCAAGCUAGCUAAAAUGCAAGACUUUAGUCUUGCAUUUUAGCUAGCUUGCGUAGCAGACGUAUAAACUAACUGCGUAG